GUGUCAGCAGCCGCGGUAAUACGUAGGGACCAAGCGUUGUCCGGAAUUAUUGGGCGUAAAGCGCGUGUAGGCGGCUUGCCAAGUCCGGUGUGAAAUGUCGGGGCUCAACCCCGGAACUGCAUUGGAAACUGGCUUGCUUGAGUCCGGAAGAGGAGACUGGAAUUCCUGGUGUAGCGGUGAAAUGCGCAGAUAUCAGGAAGAACACCCGUGGCGAAGGCGGGUCUCUGGGACGGUACUGACGCUGAGACGCGAAAGCGUGGGGAGCAAACAGGAUUAGAUACCCUGGUAGUCCACGCCGUAAACGAUGGGCACUAGGUGUGGGAGGUGUCGACUCCUUCCGUGCCGAAGCUAACGCAUUAAGUGCCCCGCCUGGGGAGUACGGCCGCAAGGCUAAA
rnacentral:rRNA from 1 species